GAUGAACGCUAGCGGCAGGCCUAAUACAUGCAAGUCGAACGGUAACAUGAGUAGCAAUACUUGAUGACGAGUGGCGCACGGGUGCGUAACGCGUAUGCAAUCUACCUUUAACUGGUGAAUAGCCCGAAGAAAUUCGGAUUAAUACACCAUAGUAUAUUUGAAUGGCAUCAUUUAAAUAUUAAAACUCCGGUGGUUAAAGAUGAGCAUGCGUGACAUUAGCUAGUUGGUGAGGUAAUGGCUCACCAAGGCUACGAUGUCUAGGGGAUCUGAGAGGAUUAACCCCCACACUGGUACGGAGACACGGACCAGACUACUAAGGGAGGCAGCAGUAAGGAAGAUUGGACAAUGGUCGAAAGACUGAUCCAGCCAUGCCGCGUGAAGGAUGACGGCCCUAUGGGUUGUAAACUUCUUUUGUAUGGGAAAAAACCCUUCUACAUGUAGAAGGCUGAUGGUACCAUAAGAAUAAGGAUCGGCUAACUCCGUGCCAGCCGCCGCAGUAA
rnacentral:rRNA from 1 species